ACGGAGGCCCUGCUGGUUCACUCAGUUCAGUUAACAUGGAGGCCUGCAGACGGUGCGUUCACUGCGCCCUCGUCGCGUCUCUGCUCCUGGGUUCGUCGCUCCAGCAGGACACGGGUGAGAGCAGAUGUUUGUAAGGCGGAGUCUGGGCUGUUUCUAUUCUCUGCAGCUGAGGAGGGAAGUGUGACGGUUUCACCCGUCGUGUUCCCGCAGCCGUGGUUUGAAGGAGUCCGAACCGCACGCUUAAUUAGCCCGUGUCCCGUGUGUUUAGUGGCAGCGGACGUCAGCGGCCGCCAGCUGGAGCGCCUGGUCGAGCUGCUGACGUCUAAGGAGUGCGAGGACCUCCUGUUCGCCCUGUCUCACCCGGAGGAGGACGUCUUCCAGCAGCUCGAGCGCCUCUCGGCCCAGCAGAACCCGCUCGGCCUCGCGGCCCGGUCCAAGAGGGACGCCGCGUCCGCCGAGGAUAGCGGCGCUCGGUGCCGCGCGGCCCUGACGGACUGGCUGCUGGAGAACGGCGCGCGGACCUACUACGACCGGCUCGCCCGCGCCCUGCAGCGCGUCGGCAGGACCGACGUCGCCAUCGAAGUCGGGAAGAACAUCAACCAGGACAUGGCCUUAAACAUAAAACACUACGUUGAAGAUUAUCACAAAUUCGUGAGCUCUUUGAACGUCCCAUCAGUCGAGUCAGACGCCAACGACCACCAGCAACGAGACCCGAGGGUCAGAAGGAGAAGAGUAAGGGACCUGACCUGGCGGGACCUGGACCUGAUUGUGGAGCGGGCCCCCGUGCCCCCGUACCAGAAGGGGCCCAUGGACGUGGUUCUGCCGCUGCUGCACGGCCUCCUGCUGGGCUUCGGAGGCACCUUCCUCGCGAGCGUCUCCAUCCUCCUCAUCCUCGCCCACGUGUCCCGCAGAGGGACGCGUGGACCCCCCGGGGUCACCGCCGGCUCCGGCUGCGAGCGGAUGGUUGGAGAUGCGGGCGACGGGGCGGCUCACGCGCCCUCGCACGCGCCUGUGAGCAGAACCAACGCGGUAGCGAGGCGGAAACCAGACCAUAACUAAUUGUGACAAACCUGAGCACAAUCCAGCCAUUUUCCACGCGCUUGUGUCCACGCCUCUGCUGUAAAGCGGGACCGACUGUUUCUGGUCCGUCGGUGCCUCGUCGCGCGACAGAUGCGCUGGAAUCGGGCCCUCGCGCCAAAGGUUGUUGUGGUGUUACAGUGAUAGCGAUGCCCCCCCCCCCCCCCCUCCUCCUCCUCCUCUAAGUGACGGCACCGUGCCCGCCUGGCAUCGAACAACAGCUAAUUAUCCAGGACUAAUAACCACGAGGCCGCUAGCAGACAAUGGAGCGCCCGGUCGCCACGGUAACAGACGACGCGUACGAAGUCUGGAGGACGCCGCUGAAACCGCCCGAUACCUGAUGAAGAGGGGCCGUGCAAAUAAAUAAAAAUGUCCACGUCA
rnacentral:lncRNA from 1 species